rnacentral:tRNA from 1 species
GGUGUCUUGGAGAAGUGGUUUUAACUCACUCCCUUUGGGCUAUGCCAUCUGGGAGAGAUCGAGGGUUCGAACCCCUCAGACACCC